rnacentral:tRNA from 1 species
GGGCCGAUAGUCCAACGGAAAGACACUGCUCUCGCACAGCAGAGAUUCCGAGUUCGAAUCUCGGUCGGUCCA